AGGAGUCAGCGCUGAGGAGGGCACAGGGGACAUGCCUGACUCCGUCUGGGUGCCAGGCCCAGAGCCGGGCAUUUCCCAUAGUCAUCGGCCCCCUGCCCGCCCCCAGCAUGUCGAGGAAGGGAGGAGUAUUUUUAGUUCCAUCUUGAAGACGGGCACAGGAACGGAGAAUAACUGCCUGAAAGCACUGUCCCUGGUCUGAGCGGCCCUUGGAAAGGCUCAGCCUGGGCCAGGCCUUGCUGCUUCCCAUAACAGUUACAAGCACUGGCUCUGCCAUCGGAGAUGAAAGGGUACACGUGGGGUUCUCCGACCUUCCAGCCGUGUGACCUCGGACUGGACCUCUGUUUGCUUAGCUCCCUCCACUUGCCUUCCUCGAAUGUGGGAACCCCGGACUCUGUCUUGGAAAAGACCUGGCCUCUCCUUCUCUGGGUUGGGUCCAUCCGUGGGCUCCCGCAGAGGCCUGUGGUUGCAGAGACCGGAAGCUGCAGCUUCAGGAGGGUAAGUGACUGUGCCCAGGAGCCGCACUGAGCAGCAGCGGGCUCCGCAGGGCCUCCAGGCUCCCCCGGGCAUCAGUGCGUGCUGCCACCUCCCCCUUCUCUGUGAGCUGGCACUGUGAGGCUGAGGGGCACAGGCUGGGGCAGGAAUCUCGGUUCUUCCCAGCUCUGUGAGAACUGGGAGAUGCUCGAGAACUAUCCCAUCCCCGGAUCUCAGUUCCCCCAUUGUAACGGGGCAGCUGGACUCAGGGAUGUCCAGUCCCCAUGCUGGAUCCCACCUUCAUCUCCCUGUGUGAGAUGGGGGUGGUGUCCUGUGCCCCAUCCCUAUCCCUGGGCCUGAAUUCCCAGCUGCUGUACUGGUGCCCGGGUCCCUGGGUCCCUCCCACCCUGAGCCGCCUCCAGACCAAGCUAUUGUCUCGGAUCCAAGCAGCCAGGCUGGCUGGGCCUGGAGCGGGACGGGAGGACUGCGGGAUUGCUGAGCCAGGAGGGGAACAGAGCACCUGCUUCCCUGUGACUGCCUCUUGGAGCGCUAAUCAUGGAGUUGUCCCAGAGCAGGGCUCCUCACUGAGCCCUUCAAUAUCUGAUCUGUCAUGGAAGAAAAAUGUUGCGUUUUGUGUCUGAGACCUUUCCUUGAUCCCAUCUUGCAAAAGAGAAAGAAAGAAAAAAGAAACAACAAAGGCUGCCGGGAGAGUGAGAGAUUUGAGAGGAGCAUUUCUGAGGGAGCCGUGAGUGUCGGGAAGGGUGGGCCUGGGGUCACGGAGCGCUUUCUGGAAAGCCGUGGUGAAGCAUCACCCGGUACCAGCCGCCUCGCUAGCUCUUGCCAUAGCAGCAGCGUGAACAAGCGUCCCGCCAUUUAGUGGCUCAAAACAACAAGGUGCCGUGGUUUCUCCCGAGCCUCGGGUGGGUCUAAUCCACCUGCGAGGCUUGCUGGCAAGUCUGUGGUUAGCAACGGGCUGGCCGGGAGGCUCUGCUGGUCUGGCCUGGGCCUUCUCACAUGCCUGGGACAGUGGGGCUGGGUGGGCUCGCUCCCCUGCGGGCUUCUCAUGGCAGGGGCUGGGUCUGGGGAGGCAGGGGGGUAGAAGCUCAUGCCGUGUCUUGAGGCCCAGGCUCGGGGUCAUCUCUUCUGCCGUAUUCUGUAGGCCAAAGCCAGUUCUGGGCCAGUCCUGCUUCCAGAGAUGGAAAGUGGGCUUGGCAGCAGAGCGGCUUUAAAUGGUGCAAAGGAUGGAAUGUUUGUGUCCCCCAAACUCACACAUUGAAAUCCUAGCCCCGAAGGUGAUGGUAUGAGGCGGUGGGGCCUAUGGGAGGGGAGGGGGGCGUGAGAAUGUUGUCCUCAUGAAUGGUACCACGCCCUGAUAAAAGGGACCCCAGGGAGGUGCCUGGUCCCGUGUGAGGACUGAGUGAGAAGGUGGGGUUGAAACCUGGAAAUGUCCCUCCCCAGACACUGCCAGUGCCCUGAUCUCAGCCUCCAGCCUCCAGAAUGGCAAGAAAUAGAUCUCUGUUGUUUGUAGGUCAUGCAGUCUGUGGAGCUUGGGUGUAGUAGCCCAAACGGACUGAGACAAUGACAAUGGGAGAGGAAAAUAAAUCUCAGGACCCCAAAUCACUAAGCUAGAGGGAAAAGGCAAGCUGGGAACUGCGUGAGGCAAACCUGUCUCCGAUUUAUUCCUAAAUAGGACAGCUACGAAGAUAAAAAAGCUACACAGCUCCCUCACCACUUGCCCACAGGGUAUUCCCUGUGGACCUCAAGAUCUUUACUAUGAAGCAGUUCUGUUGAAUUUUACCAAUGUAAACUGAUAGCUUAUCUUCACAGGCAUGGGACAGAAAGUCAUCCCUCCGCUCACCUGAGACAAAUACUUAUCUGAUUGUUUUCUGAUAUGAUUUGGCUCUGUGUCCCCACCCAAAUCUCAUCUUGAAUUAUAAUCCCCACGUGAUGAAGGAGGGGCCUGGAGGGAGAUGACUGGAGCAUGGGGCAGAUUUCUCCCUUGCUGUUCUCAUGAUAGUGAGUGAGUUCUCACGAGAGCUGAUGGUUUUCGAGUGUGGCACUUCCCCUGCUCCCCGCCUCCUGCCACCAUGUAAGAUGUGCCUGCCUCCACUUCCACCAUGAUGGUGAGUUUCCUGUGGCCUCCCCAGCCCUGCGGAACUGUGA
rnacentral:lncRNA from 10 species